GCGCAUGCGCACAACCACUGACUAUAUAAGGCGUGGUCGCCUGCUCGUUCUUCCCAGUUCCUUCUUCUUUCUGCAGGUAUGUGGGCUGUUGGGAAAUGGAGCUUUGUUCUAGCGCAUACUCAGAUCUUGACCAUGCUAAAACCUAAUGGAUAACCUCCCGUUCCCCAGGCUUUGUUUCAUGAGUUCUACACACUCUCAAACAGAUCAUGCUUGGACCAAAUGUAUAACCUGUUCAUCUGGCUUCGUUUCAUAAGUCCUACAUGCUCUCAAUCAGAUCAUGCUUGGACCAAAUGGAUAACCUGUUGAUCUGGCUUCAUUUCAUAAGUCCUACACGCUCUCAAACAGGUAACGUAAUGCUGAACAUGUUCUCAGGACUCUGUGUUUGCCAUUUACCUGGUGCACAUGAUGACUGAUCUUUUUUCCCCAGCAGAUCGAUAGUGUUGACACUUGCUCUAACCUUUUAAGCCAAUUUAUCUGAAGCGCCACCAGACUUGUUGGCAUACAAAGUUUGAGGUGCAUUUCUUGUUCUUUAUUCUUUUAUUUGUGUCCCUUCAAACGAUCGAAUUAGGUAAUUUCAAGAGGACCUUUACAUGAGUGACCUUUGAUGGAUGGCAACAUGUGAGGCAGUUGAGGGCUUUGAGAGAUGUGUACCCCGAUGGCCCUCCAGUGCCAAACCUACACGGAGAAGCGGGUGAAGUGUGUAUAAUGGCUCUCUCUGCCAAGCAGCUCACGUUUACCAGUGAUGAGGGAGAAAGAAACAAUUUUGUACUUCCUAAUUUUUUUCCCAAUAAACCUGAACCAUCAAAACUUUGCUGCUUGUUUUUGGAAUACUUUCUCUCAUGCUCUUAUGAAUGUGCCAUGUUAUAACUGUCAGUUGAGUGAAUUUAAUGUUUUGUGACCUAUGGCACAGAGUUUGUACAAGGUU